rnacentral:rRNA from 1 species
CAGCCGCCGCGGUAAUACGUAGGUGGCAAGCGUUGCCCGGAAUUAUUGGGCGUAAAGGGCUCGCAGGCGGUUUCUUAAGUCUGAUGUGAAAGCCCCCGGCUCAACCGGGGAGGGUCAUUGGAAACUGGGAAACUUGAGUGCAGAAGAGGAGAGUGGAAUUCCACGUGUAGCGGUGAAAUGCGUAGAGAUGUGGAGGAACACCAGUGGCGAAGGCGACUCUCUGGUCUGUAACUGACGCUGAGGAGCGAAAGCGUGGGGAGCGAACAGGAUUAGAUACCCCGGUAGUCCCUGUCUCUUAUAC